CGAAGGGCGCUGACUUCCAUUAUGCUACUGUUUUCUUGGGAAAUAUGGAAAGAGUGAAAUGCACGUGUGUUCCGUAACAACGCAAUUCCAGUGGGUGUGCUUGUUGCUCGAAUCAAAGAGGAAGCCUCAUGGUGGUGCCGUGCCGGGGCAAAAUAUUUGUGUAAUGUAAUGCCGCGAGAGUGA
rnacentral:rRNA from 1 species